rnacentral:rRNA from 1 species
AGAGUUUGAUCAUGGCUCAGAAUCAACGCUGGCGGCGUGCCUCAGACAUGCAAGUCGAACGCGAAAGUCCCCUUCGGGGGACAAGUAGAGUGGCGUCCGGGUGAGUAACACGUAGGUAAUCUACCUUCGGGUGGGGAAUAACCCAGGGAAACUUGGGCUAAUACCGCAUAAUGCAGCGGCACCACAUGGUGACAGUUGUUAAAGCGGGGGAUCUUCGGAUCUCGCGCCUGAAGAGGAGCCUGCGGCAGAUUAGCUAGUUGGUAAGGUAACGGCUUACCAAGGCGACGAUCUGUAGCCGGCCUGAGAGGGCGGUCGGCCACACUGACACUGACAUACGGGUCAGACUCCUACGGGAGGCAGCAGUCGGGAAUUUUGGGCAAUGGGCGAAAGCCUGACCCAGCAACGCCGCGUGAAGGAUGAAAUCCCUCGGGAUGUAAACUUCGCAAGAAUAGGAAGAAUUAGUAGGGGUUAAUACCCUCUAUGAUGACGGUACUAUUUGUAAGCUCCGGCUAACUCCGUGCCAGCAGCCGCGGUAAUACGGGGGGAGCAAGCGUUGUUCGGAUUUACUGGGCGUAAAGGGCGCGUAGGCGGUCAGCACAAGUCAGUUGUGAAAUCUCCGGGCUUAACUCGGAAAGGUCAACUGAUACUGUGCGACUAGAGUGCAGAAGGGGCAACUGGAAUUCUCGGUGUAGCGGUGAAAUGCGUAGAUAUCGAGAGGAACACCUGCGGCGAAGGCGGGUUGCUGGGCUGACACUGACGCUGAUGCGCGAAAGCCAGGGGAGCGAACGGGAUUAGAUACCCUAGUAGUCC